AGAAGAAAAGACAUUGUUUUGAGAUAAUUUCUGUGUACAUCUGUCCUAAAAAGGAGAUAGCCACACUGAGGUACCUGAAGCUGUCCCAAGAACAUACUGCAAUCGCUCAGCUCCGUGAAUUCACAUAUGCUGUUCAUUCUGCCUGGGAUACUUCUUCCAUCAGGUGGUGUUCCUCUAUAUUUGAGGCCUACAUCAGAAACUUAAUGUACAACUGGUAUAAAUUGACCAUUUUCAUCACCUUGGUGUUUUAGCAGGUGGUCUGCUCCAUGCUGGUUGCAGACUGAAUGAAAGCAGACAACAUUUUGAAACUAAUUCCUGAAGUUGAUGGAAGACUCCAGAGCCAUUUCAACUGGUGAAAUAGUGUUGUGUUUUGUGCAUUUUUUUUUUUGUUUUAAAUUAAAUGCUCUGAGACACUUGACCUUUCUGGCAAAUGAAGGGCAAACACUGCUUUACUCUCAUUUCAUGUCACAAUUAUAAGUCUCUAGAUAUUUAAAAUUGUCUUGAGCAGAUUGUUUUUGGUUCAUAAGCCAUUAUUUCCCUAUUAAAAAGGAAAAAUAACUUCUUUGUCAUUGAAUGGAUUUCUUUAAGUCAAUAAAGCUGAAAAAAAAGGACUUUAUUUAAUCCAUCCAUGUUUCACUCUGGAGAAGCGUUAAGACAUCUUGGUCCCUUAUUCCUAACUUCUUCAUUUAAACAUCACAUACUUCAUUUAAAAUAUAUGUUCAGGUAUAACAACUUAAAAUGUCCACUUUUAAAUGAUGAGGUAAACAUCUGGAAACUUCCUUUCCUAUUUCAUGAACAUGGGAAAUAAGACAUAG